UGGCUCAGUUGGUCGAGCAAUGGCGCUUGCAAUGCCAGGUUUGUGGGUUCGAUUCCCAU
rnacentral:tRNA from 1 species